AGAACGUAUUCAUUCACUGACACCAUCUCAUCCAGAGAAUAAUGAGAUUGAUGUAUCCUGUAUUUAUGCGGGACGUUUCCAUGGAGAGUACAAGAAAUACCAUGCACGUCUUUAUCUUGGUGAUGACCGUCAGCUGCUUAAAGAAGAAACAGAAAACACAUGCAAAUUUGUAUUCAAAGAUCUGAGCUAUUUGACCACCUACAGAGUGGAGGUGACUGUUUUCAAUGGACAACAUGAGAGCGACCCCGUCAUGGAGCAUGUCGACACGAAGUGUACGUGCAGUUUUAAUUAAUGCCACAAACUGUCGCACAUCGUUCUGUUAAAUCAUUUCACACAUUUGGUUCAGACUUGCAGUGCAGUCAUUGAUUGUUGUAUGUUGUAUUUUAAACAUUAAUACCACCACUUUUACAUCCUCCUCUUAUGACCCUCAUGUUACAGAUAACAACAAAGUUGUCAUCGGUGUUCUGGUGUUCUUCAUCAUCCUCAUCAUCACAGCUGUGGUGGUUUGCAGGAUCUACGUUCUGAAACGCAGAAAGUCCAGAAACGAUGUUAAUGAGGAUAUGAUGCUUGAAUCAACAGCAAUUUAUGUGAACGUACCACCUCCUGGAUGGCGUCACCAAGAAGCUCGCUGAUGAAGAAGGACCUGCUGGAUCUGCUCAACUAAUCACCAUUAACUUGUUGUGCUUUUAUGUUCAGUAUGUAGUGUGUGUGUGUGUGUGUGUGUGUGUGUGUGUGUGUGUGUGUGUGUGUGUGUGUGUGUG